UAGGAUAUUUGGUUCUCUUCCCCCCUCAGGCUGCAAAGAAAGCAGGGUUGUCCUCAGACAAAAGCCAGGAGCUUCUGAAAAUGAGCACCUCACCUGAGAUAAAGAAUCGCCUGAGAGAGACAAUGGAUGAAGUCCUGAAGUUUGGGGCAUUUGGACUGCCAAGUUUUGUUAUCCAGAUUGAUGGACAACCUCAGCUUUUCUUUGGCUCAGAUCGUAUAGAACUACUAGGAAAUGUUUUGGGAGAGAAGUGGCUGGGACCAGUUCCCACAUCAUCUAAGCUCUAGUUCUCAGGAGCAAUGAGAAAAAUAAGCAACCUAAUAAAAUGAUAAACAUCUUAUCCUUCCUACUUUUACAAGAUGACAGGCCAGCUUAAUAUAAAAGAUCAUAAUAAUUGUCUUCAAAUACCAUGCAGCUGGCAAGAUUGAAGCUCUCAGAGCAGUUUUAUACCCCUUCUUGCAACCUGAGUACCAGGAUCUAGGUGGCUCUAAAGGUAGUGAAUUGUCAUGGAAAGGUCCAGGAGUUGAGUUCCUAGUAGAAUAUCAUCUGUUACCUGCGAUUGAUGAUUUCCCCAAAAGAUGAAACUGGUCACCUAGUAGUCAAGGUAACUGACAAUUCCCAUGCGUUAGGAGUUUUCAGUAUUUAGGAUGCUUACCUGCAAGUAUUAUUUGCUCUCUUUCACCCUCUACCCCAGCCAUCACAGCAAUAAGCUAUAAUAAGUCUAGUUGAGAAAAGCACCUAUCUGUAAAAAAAUUUCUGGAUUACUUUUCACCAUCAUUCUCCAUCAU